AGAGUUUGAUCAUGGCUCAGGAUGAACGCUGGCGGUAUGCUUAACACAUGCAAGUCGAACGCAUCUUUCGGGGUGAGUGGCGGACGGGUGAGUAACGCGUGAGAAUCUGCCUAGAGGUCGGGGACAACCAUUGGAAACGAUGGCUAAUACCGGAUAUGCCUUACGGGGUGAAAGAUUAAUCGCCUUUAGAAGAGCUCGCGUCUGAUUAGCUAGUUGGUAGGGUAAAAGCCUACCAAGGCAUCGAUCAGUAGCUGGUCUGAGAGGAUGACCAGCCACACUGGGACUGAGACACGGCCCAGACUCCUACGGGAGGCAGCAGUGGGGAAUUUUCCGCAAUGGGCGAAAGCCUGACGGAGCAAGACCGCGUGAGGGAGGAAGGCUCUUGGGUCGUAAACCUCUUUUGUCAGGGAAGAACAAAAUGACGGUACCUGACGAAUCGGCAUCGGCUAACUCCGUGCCAGCAGCCGCGGUAAUACGGAGGAUGCAAGCGUUAUCCGGAAUUAUUGGGCGUAAAGCGUCCGCAGGUGGCUGAUCAAGUCUGCGGUCAAAGACCGGGGCUUAACCCUGGAAAGGCCGUGGAAACUGAUCAAGCUAGAGUACCGUAGGGGUAGAGGGAAUUCCCGGUGUAGCGGUGAAAUGCGUAGAGAUCGGGAAGAACAUCGGUGGCGAAAGCGCUCUACUGGACGGUGACUGACACUCAGGGACGAAAGCUAGGGGAGCGAAUGGGAUUAGAUACCCCAGUAGUCC
rnacentral:rRNA from 1 species